rnacentral:rRNA from 1 species
GACGAACGCUGGCGGCGUGCUUAACACAUGCAAGUCGAACGAUGAACUUGGAGCUUGCUCUGGGGGAUUAGUGGCGAACGGGUGAGUAACACGUGGGUAACCUGCCCUGGACUCUGGGAUAACUUCGAGAAAUCGGAGCUAAUACCGGAUAGGACCUUGCACCGCAUGGUGUGGGGUGGAAAGUUUUUCGGUUUGGGAUGGACUCGCGGCCUAUAAGCUUGUUGGUGAGGUAAUGGCUCACCAAGGCGUCGACGGGUAGCCGGCCUGAGAGGGUGACCGGCCACACUGGGACUGAGACACGGCCCAGACUCCUACGGGAGGCGGCAGUGGGGAAUAUUGCACAAUGGGCGCAAGCCUGAUGCAGCAACGCCGCGUGCGGGAUGACGGCCUUCGGGUUGUAAACCGCUUUUAGUAGGGAAGAAGCCUUCGGGUGACGGUACCUGCAGAAAAAGGACCGGCUAACUACGUGCCAGCCGCCGCAGUAACAC